rnacentral:rRNA from 1 species
GAGUUUGAUCCUGGCUCAGGACGAACGCUGGCGGCGUGCCUAAUACAUGCAAGUAGAACGCUGUAGACUUUAGCUUGCUAAAGUUGGAAGAGUUGCGAACGGGUGAGUAACGCGUAGGUAACCUGCCUACUAGCGGGGGAUAACUAUUGGAAACGAUAGCUAAUACCGCAUAACAGCAUUUAACCCAUGUUAGAUGCUUGAAAGGAGCAAUUGCUUCACUAGUAGAUGGACCUGCGUUGUAUUAGCUAGUUGGUGAGGUAACGGCUCACCAAGGCGACGAUACAUAGCCGACCUGAGAGGGUGAUCGGCCACACUGGGACUGAGACACGGCCCAGACUCCUACGGGAGGCAGCAGUAGGGAAUCUUCGGCAAUGGGGGCAACCCUGACCGAGCAACGCCGCGUGAGUGAAGAAGGUUUUCGGAUCGUAAAGCUCUGUUGUAAGAGAAGAACGUGUGUGAGAGUGGAAAGUUCACACAGUGACGGUAACUUACCAGAAAGGGACGGCUAACUACGUGCCAGCAGCCGCGGUAAUACGUAGGUCCCGAGCGUUGUCCGGAUUUAUUGGGCGUAAAGCGAGCGCAGGCGGUUUAAUAAGUCUGAAGUUAAAGGCAGUGGCUUAACCAUUGUUCGCUUUGGAAACUGUUAAACUUGGGUGCAGA